rnacentral:rRNA from 1 species
UACGUAGGGUCCGAGCGUUGUCCGGAAUUACUGGGCGUAAAGAGCUCGUAGGUGGUUUGUCGCGUUGUUCGUGAAAACUUACAGCUUAACUGUGGGCGUGCGGGCGAUACGGGCAGACUUGAGUACUGCAGGGGGAGACUGGAAUUCCUGGUGUAGCGGUGGAAUGCGCAGAUAUCAGGAGGAACACCGGUGGCGAAGGCGGGUCUCUGGGCAGUAACUGACGCUGAGGAGCGAAAGCGUGGGGGAGCGAACAGG